rnacentral:rRNA from 1 species
CGUAGGGUGCGCGCGUUAAUCGGAAUUACUGGGCGUAAAGCGUGCGCAGGCGGUUUGUUAAGAUAGGCGUGAAAUCCCCGGGCUCAACCUGGGAACUGCGCUUAUGACUGGCAAGCUAGAGUACGGCAGAGGGGGGUGGAAUUCCACGUGUAGCAGUGAAAUGCGUAGAGAUGUGGAGGAACACCAAUGGCGAAGGCAGCCCCCUGGGUCGAUACUGACGCUCAUGCACGAAAGCGUGGGUAGCAAACAGGAUUAGAUACCCUGGUAGUCCACGCCCUAAACGAUGUCAACUAGGUGUUGGGAGGGUAAAACCUUUUAGUACCGGAGCUAACGCGUGAAGUUGACCGCCUGGGGAGUACGGCCGCAAGGUUA